rnacentral:misc_RNA from 1 species
AACGCACAUUGCGCCCAAUAGUAUUCUGUUGGGCAUGCCUGUUCGAGCGUCAUUUCACCCUCAAGCCCUGGGCUUGGUGUUGGGGAUCUACACUGUAGGCCCUGAAAAACAGUGGCGGUCUCGCUGGGACUCUGAGCGCAGUACUUUCUCGCUACGGGGACCAGCGGGCUCAGCCGUGAAACCUACUAGGUUGACCUCGGAUCAGGUAGGAAUACCCGCUGAACUUAA